AAAUUGAAGAGUUUGAUCAUGGCUCAGAUUGAACGCUGGCGGCAGGCCUAACACAUGCAAGUCGAACGGUAACAGGAAGAAGCUUGCUUCUUUGCUGACGAGUGGCGGACGGGUGAGUAAUGUCUGGGAAACUGCCUGAUGGAGGGGGAUAACUACUGGAAACGGUAGCUAAUACCGCAUAACGUCGCAAGACCAAAGAGGGGGACCUUCGGGCCUCUUGCCAUCGGAUGUGCCCAGAUGGGAUUAGCUUGUUGGUGGGGUAACGGCUCACCAAGGCGACGAUCCCUAGCUGGUCUGAGAGGAUGACCAGCCACACUGGAACUGAGACACGGUCCAGACUCCUACGGGAGGCAGCAGUGGGGAAUAUUGCACAAUGGGCGCAAGCCUGAUGCAGCCAUGCCGCGUGUAUGAAGAAGGCCUUCGGGUUGUAAAGUACUUUCAGCGGGGAGGAAGGGAGUAAAGUUAAUACCUUUGCUCAUUGACGUUACCCGCAGAAGAAGCACCGGCUAACUCCGUGCCAGCAGCCGCGGUAAUACGGAGGGUGCAAGCGUUAAUCGGAAUUACUGGGCGUAAAGCGCACGCAGGCGGUUUGUUAAGUCAGAUGUGAAAUCCCCGGGCUCAACCUGGGAACUGCAUCUGAUACUGGCAAGCUUGAGUCUCGUAGAGGGGGGUAGAAUUCCAGGUGUAGCGGUGAAAUGCGUAGAGAUCUGGAGGAAUACCGGUGGCGAAGGCGGCCCCCUGGACGAAGACUGACGCUCAGGUGCGAAAGCGUGGGGAGCAAACAGGAUUAGAUACCCUGGUAGUCCACGCCGUAAACGAUGUCGACUUGGAGGUUGUGCCCUUGAGGCGUGGCUUCCGGAGCUAACGCGUUAAGUCGACCGCCUGGGGAGUACGGCCGCAAGGUUAAAACUCAAAUGAAUUGACGGGGGCCCGCACAAGCGGUGGAGCAUGUGGUUUAAUUCGAUGCAACGCGAAGAACCUUACCUGGUCUUGACAUCCACAGAACCUUGUAGAGAUACGGGGGUGCCUUCGGGAACUGUGAGACAGGUGCUGCAUGGCUGUCGUCAGCUCGUGUUGUGAAAUGUUGGGUUAAGUCCCGCAACGAGCGCAACCCUUAUCCUUUGUUGCCAGCGGUCCGGCCGGGAACUCAAAGGAGACUGCCAGUGAUAAACUGGAGGAAGGUGGGGAUGACGUCAAGUCAUCAUGGCCCUUACGACCAGGGCUACACACGUGCUACAAUGGCGCAUACAAAGAGAAGCGACCUCGCGAGAGCAAGCGGACCUCAUAAAGUGCGUCGUAGUCCGGAUUGGAGUCUGCAACUCGACUCCAUGAAGUCGGAAUCGCUAGUAAUCGUGGAUCAGAAUGCCACGGUGAAUACGUUCCCGGGCCUUGUACACACCGCCCGUCACACCAUGGGAGUGGGUUGCAAAAGAAGUAGGUAGCUUAACCUUCGGGAGGGCGCUUACCACUUUGUGAUUCAUGACUGGGGUGAAGUCGUAACAAGGUAACCGUAGGGGAACCUGCGGUUGGAUCACCUCCUUA
rnacentral:rRNA from 1 species